rnacentral:rRNA from 1 species
GUGCCAGCCGCCGCGGUAAUACGUAGGGGGCGAGCGUUGUCCGGAAUUACUGGGCGUAAAGGGAGCGUAGGCGGUUAAUUAAGUUGGAUGUGAAAUCCCCGGGCUUAACUUGGGUGGUGCAUCCAAUACUGGUUGACUAGAGUACAGGAGAGGAAAGCGGAAUUCCUGGUGUAGCGGUGAAAUGCAUAGAUAUCAGGAGGAACAUCGGUGGCGAAGGCGGCUUUCUGGACUGACACUGACGCUGAGGCUCGAAAGCGUGGGGAGCAAACAGGAUUAGAUACCCUGGUAGUCCACGCUGUAAACGAUGAAUACUAGGUGUAGGGGGUGUAAACUCCCCCUGUGCCGCAGCUAACGCAAUAAGUAUUCCGCCUGGGGAGUACGGCCGCAAGGUUGAAACUCAAAUGAAUUGACGG